GGGAUUGCCUCAGUAACGGCGAGUGAAGCGGCAACAGCUCAAAUUUGAAAUCUGGCCCCCUCGGGGGGCCCGAGUUGUAAUUUGCAGAUUGUGCUUUUGGCGAGGCGCCUUCCGAGUUCCCUGGAACGGGACGCCACAGAGGGUGAGAGCCCCGUCUGGUCGGCCGCCGAGCCUCUGUAAAGCACCUUCGACGAGUCGAGUAGUUUGGGAAUGCUGCUCAAAACGGGAGGUAUAUGUCUUCUAAAGCUAAAUACCGGCCAGAGACCGAUAGCGCACAAGUAGAGUGAUCGAAAGAUGAAAAGCACCUUGAAAAGGGGGUUAAACAGUACGUGAAAUUGUUGAAAGGGAAGCGCUCGCGACCAGACUUGGGCCCGGCGGAUCACCCAGCGUUCUCGCUGGGGCACUCCGCCUCGUCCCAGGCCAGCAUCGGUUCGCGCCGGGGGACAAAGGCGGCGGGAACGUGGCUCCCCCGGGAGUGUUAUAGCCCGCCGCGCAAUGCCCUGGGGCGGACCGAGGAUUCGCGCAUCUGCAUGGAUGCUGGCGUAAUGGUCACCAGCGACCCGUCUUGAAACACGGACCAAGGAGUCGUCUUCGUAUGCGAGUGUUCGGGUGUCAAACCCCUACGCGUAAUGAAAGUGAACGCAGGUGAGAGCUUCGGCGCAUCAUCGACCGAUCCUGAUGUUCUCGGAUGGAUUUGAGUAGGAGCAUACGGGGCCGGACCCGAAAGAAGGUGAACUAUGCCUGUGUAGGGUGAAGCCAGAGGAAACUCUGGUGGAGGCUCGCAGCGGUUCUGACGUGCAAAUCGAUCGUCAAACAUGGGCAUGGGGGCGAAAGACUAAUCGAACCUU
rnacentral:rRNA from 1 species